rnacentral:rRNA from 1 species
GGUUAACCGAAUAGGGGAGCCGUAGGGAAACCGAGUCUUAACCGGGCGUUAAGUUGCAGGGUAUAGACCCGAAACCCGGUGAUCUAGCCAUGGGCAGGUUGAAGGUUGGGUAACACUAACUGGAGGACCGAACCGACUAAUGUUGAAAAAUUAGCGGAUGACCUGUGGCUGGGGGUGAAAGGCCAAUCAAACCGGGAGAUAGCUGGUUCUCCCCGAAAGCUAUUUAGGUAGCGCCUCGUGAAUUCAUCUCCGGGGGUAGAGCACUGUUUCGGCUAGGGGGCCAUCCCGGCUUACCAACCCGAUGCAAACUGCGAAUACCGGAGAAUGUUAUCACGGGAGACACACGGCGGGUGCUAACGUCCGUCGUGAAGAGGGAAACAACCCAGACCGCCAGCUAAGGUCCCAAAGUCAUGGUUAAGUGGGAAACGAUGUGGGAAGGCCCAGACAGCCAGGAUGUUGGCUUAGAAGCAGCCAUCAUUUAAAGAAAGCGUAAUAGCUCACUGGUCGAGUCGGCCUGCGCGGAAGAUGUAACGGGGCUAAACCAUG